rnacentral:tRNA from 1 species
GUAGCUCAAUUGGAUAGAGCAUCUGACUACGGAUCAGAAGGUUGUGAGUUCGAAUCCCGCCGGG